rnacentral:rRNA from 1 species
CACGUAGGGUGCGAGCGUUUGUCCGGAAUUAUUGGGCGUAAAGAGCUCGUAGGCGGUUUGUUGCGUCGGCUGUGAAAACCUGAGGCUCAACCUCAGGCCUGCAGUCGAUACGAGCAGACUAGAGUGUUGCAGGGGAGACUGGAAUUCCUGGUGUAGCGGUGAAAUGCGUAGAUAUCGGGGGGAACACCAGUGGCGAAGGCGGCUCUCUGGGGUGCACCUGACGCUGAUGCGCGAAAGCGUGGGGAGCGAACCGG